GGAGUUGUGGCUCAGCGGUAGAGCUCUCGCCCAACACUCGCGAGUCACUGGGUUCGAUCCUCAGCACCA
rnacentral:tRNA from 1 species